rfam:Schistosoma haematobium scaffold416_13, whole genome shotgun sequence.
AUCCAGCCGACAAGUCCCGAAUAGGACGAAACACGCGUCCUGGAU